CUACGGGUCGCAGCAGUGGGGAAUAUUGGACAAUGGGGGAAACCCUGAUCCAGCAAUGCCGCGUGUGUGAAGAAGGCCUGCGGGUUGUAAAGCACUUUCGGUUGGGAGGACUGCUUCUAGCACUAAUAUUGUUGGAAGUUGACGUUACCUUCAGAAGAAGCACCGGCUAACUCCGUGCCAGCAGCCGCGGUAAUACGGAGGGGGCAAGCGUUAAUCGGAAUUACUGGGCGUAAAGCGCGGGUAGGCGGCUAGAUCAGUCGGGUGUGAAAGCCCCGGGCUUAACCUGGGAACUGCAUCCGAUACUGUCUAUCUUGAGUACAGGAGAGGAGAGUGGAAUUCCACAUGUAGCGGUGAAAUGCGUAGAUAUGUGGAGGAACACCAAUGGCGAAGGCAGCUCUCUGGCCUGAUACUGACGCUGAGGUGCGAAAGCGUGGGGAGCAAACAGGAUUAGAUACCCUAGUAGUC
rnacentral:rRNA from 1 species